rnacentral:rRNA from 1 species
UACGUAGGGUGCGAGCGUUGCCCGGAUUUAUUGGGCGUAAAGGGCGCGUAGGCGGCUCUGCACGUCCGUUGUGAAAUCUCCCGGCUCAACUGGGAGGGUGCGCCGAAUACUGAAUGACUAGAGUGCGGGAGAGGAAAGUGGAAUUCCUGGUGUAGCGGUGAAAUGCGUAGAUAUCAGGAGGAACACCGGUGGUGUAGACGGCUUUCUGGACCGUAACUGACGCUGAGACACGAAAGCGUGGGUAGCAAACAGG